rnacentral:rRNA from 1 species
GUUCAGAGAGGGGUCAAUGUCCUAUCAGCUAGUUGGGAGGGUAAUGGCCUACCAAGGCGAAGACGGGUAGCCGGCCUGAGAGGGUGGUCGGCCACAUUGGGACUGAGACACUGCCCAGACUCCUACGGGAGGCUGCAGUCGAGUAUCUUUCGCAAUGCCCGAAAGGGUGACGAAGCGACGCCGCGUGUGGGAAGAAGGCCUUCGGGUUGUAAACCACUGUCAGGAGUUAAGAAGUGCAAGGGUGCGAAUAGCGCCUUUGCUUGACUAAGGCUCCAGAGGAAGCCACGGCUAACUCUGUGCCAGCAGCCGCGGUAAUACAGAGGUGGCAAGCGUUGUUCGGAAUUAUUGGGCGUAAAGAGCACGUAGGCGGUUCUGCAAGUCGGCUGUGAAAGCCUUCCGCUCAACGGAAGAACAGCAGUUGAUACUACAGGACUAGAGUGCGGGAGGG